GACGAACCGUGCGACCGUUGUUCGGAAUCACUGGGCUUAAAGGGCGCGUAGGCGGGCUGUCAAGUUUGGGGUGAAAUCCCGCGGCUCAACCGUGGAACUGCCUCAAAUACUGACGGCCUCGAGGAAGGUAGGGGCACGUGGAACUGUAGGUGGAGCGGUGAAAUGCGUUGAUAUCUACAGGAACUCCGGUGGCGAAAGCGGCGUGCUGGACCUUUUCUGACGCUGAGGCGCGAAAGCUAGGGGAGCAAACGGG
rnacentral:rRNA from 1 species